rnacentral:rRNA from 2 species
GUGGGGAUUAGUGGCGAACGGGUGAGUAACACGUGGGCAAUCUGCCCUGCACUCUGGGACAAGCCCUGGAAACGGGGUCUAAUACCGGAUACUGACCCGCUUGGGCAUCCUGGCGGUUCGAAAGCUCCGGCGGUGCAGGAUGAGCCCGCGGCCUAUCAGCUAGUUGGUGAGGUAAUGGCUCACCAAGGCGACGACGGGUAGCCGGCCUGAGAGGGCGACCGGCCACACUGGGACUGAGACACGGCCCAGACUCCUACGGGAGGCAGCAGUGGGGAAUAUUGCACAAUGGGCGAAAGCCUGAUGCAGCGACGCCGCGUGAGGGAUGACGGCCUUCGGGUUGUAAACCUCUUUCAGCAGGGAAGAAGCGAAAGUGACGGUACCUGCAGAAGAAGCGCCGGCUAACUACGUGCCAGCAGCCGCGGUAAUACGUAGGGCGCGAGCGUUGUCCGGAAUUAUUGGGCGUAAAGAGCUCGUAGGCGGCUUGUCACGUCGGUUGUGAAAGCCCGGGGCUUAACCCCGGGUCUGCAGUCGAUACGGGCAGGCUAGAGUUCGGUAGGGGAGAUCGGAAUUCCUGGUGUAGCGGUGAAAUGCGCAGAUAUCAGGAGGAACACCGGUGGCGAAGGCGGAUCUCUGGGCCGAUACUGACGCUGAGGAGCGAAAGCGUGGGGAGCGAACAGGAUUAGAUACCCUGGUAGUCCACGCCGUAAACGGUGGGCACUAGGUGUGGGCGACAUUCCACGUCGUCCGUGCCGCAGCUAACGCAUU